GACGAACGCUGGCGGCGCGCUUAACACAUGCAAGUCGAACGGAAAGGCCUGCUUUCCCUUGUGGAUUGCGGGUACUCGAGUGGCGAACGGGUGAGUAACACGUGAGUGAUCUGCCCCCAACUUGGGUAUAAGCCUGGGAAACUGGGUCUAAUUCCCGAUAGGACUGCAGGGUGGUGCCUGUGGUGGAAAACGAUUUUCUAGUGGUUGGGGAUGAGCUCGCGGCCUAUCAGCUUGUUGGUGGGGUAAUGGCCUACCAAGGCGGCGACGGGUAGCCGGCCUGUGAGGGUGGACGGCAACAUUGGGACUGGGAUACGGCCCAGACUCCUACGGGAGGCAGCAGUGGGGAAUAUAGCGCAAUGGGCGGAAGCCUGAUGCAGCGACGCCGCGUGGGGGAUGACGGCCUUCGGGUUGUAAACUCCUUUCGACCGAGAGGAAGCCACCUGGUUGGAAGGGUGGUGACGGUAGUGGGAGAAGAAGCACCGGCUAACUACGUG
rnacentral:rRNA from 1 species